GUGGGGGUAAUAGAAAGAUGAUAUUUCAUCUGCUUUACCAAACCUUGUCCCCAUUUGGGAAAAAUAUCUAUUUGUGUAAGCCUCUUUUCCAGAGCAAUCCAGUCUUUACAACUUAGGCCUUUCAUGAAGCUUGUGCCACCACUUUUUUUUCUCAAGUAGUGGUCACUUGUGGAGGUUGAUACAGCUUACAUCAGGGAAAAACUGAAUUUUUUUAGAUUUUACAGAAACAAUCACUUUAGAUCAUGUGUAUACAACGUUAGUGUCAACGGCUCUUAAAAUCUGUAGCAUUAGCAACACAUCUCACUAUACCAGAAGCGCACUUAGCGGGUGCGAGAUGCCAUGGGGGCCAACAAGU